rnacentral:tRNA from 1 species
UAGCUCAGUUGGUAGAGCACGACCUUGCCAAGGUCGGGGUCGCGAGUUCGAGUCUN